UGCGAAGAAGCCGUCUUGGCUGGAUGUGCUCGUGAACGAAUAACUUCAGAUAUUAUUACCUGCUCGUUGCCGCCGCGAAAUUUAGUUUUAAACUAUUCCAUUCUCUACUUGAUCAUUGAACCUGCCCAAUCGAAGUUGUUUAAUGUUGAAAUUCGUGGUCGAGAGGUGAAAAAUCUACGAAGACGGAAUCCAUUGGGUCAACGCAUAAGGAUCGCCACUGAGGCAGCAAUCGCUAAAUUCGAACGAAAAUUCACAAAAUUAUAAAGACGAAUGUAACAAAGGAUUAAUUUUAAGGAUUCCAGCACUGAGUGUUUGGUUAUAGCUCACAAACGAGCGGAAAAAGGUGUGUUCUAGGCGUUACGACUUCGUGCCUGUGCUCGAUUUUGUGCUACCUGCAGAUCGCUGGCAGUGCCCGCGACUUCGUGCGCGAAUCUCACAAAGAAUUCUUGUUCAUUUCGAAAGUUCUUAGUUUUAUUUCAGUACAGCGAGUACGUAAUUUUAGUCUGACCACAAGGAGAGAUUGAAAAUUGUGCGUGAUCUGCUGAUUUCUUAAUGUUCUGCUGUGGGUUCCGUGGUCGCCCCGACAGCAAUCAGUCAGUUGGUGGGAAGCCUUUCAGUUCGCGCGUUUCGUGAAUUAUUCUACAUUUCUCGUUGGCGCGUUCGGGUUGAAUUCCUGAUUGGCCAAAUUGAAAUUUCGUGUGGAUAUAGAUCUAAGUUGAGCAGAGAAGCUGUGCAGUUUGUGAACCGCUUGCUCCCUUCGUGAUAAAGCGUUGGCAGUGUCCCCCGAGAAGGUCCCAAGUGAAAUUGAAUGUGAAUUUCCCGGGUUGGCGUAGUGUCUGUUGUUUUUAUCUGGAACGAGCCACGAGGCAGGAAAGAGGGAAAAUCGAUCGUCGCCACACGUCUUUCAAUGUCCUCAUGUGAAUCAUCGUCUUGUCGCCGUGGAAGUGCCCGAGUUUGAAUUCAGUGAAUAUAUUUUACUGUAAGGAGGUGUUCUGUGUCUUCGUUCUUUGUCCUCUCCUCGUCCUGCCGUCUUGUGAAGGCUUUGUGUCUGUCGUCGCUAUGUAAACAAGAGACACGAGAAGCUGAAUAUUUUCGCCAGAUACAAAGUAUGAAACUAAAGGAAUAAACCAUUUAACUAUUCCUUUUCUAUCGGAGUACGAAGCUUUAUAUUCAUCAUUUUAAUGAACGGCUAAUAACACUUUCAGAAUGAGCCGCUCAUCGCAUCACCACCGCCAGAUGCAAGCGCAUCAGCAACAGCAAAUGAUGACCGACAACGAUGCCGCUGCUUUGGCCACAGAAAUUUUUGACCAUUUCUGUGCGGCCAUAACAAUGCGUCAAAUUUUAGGACUCUACAGAAACAUGUGUGAUACUAUUGGCUUGCGACCAGGACCUUUGAAUGAGUUUUAUCCGAAACUGAAAUCAAAAGUGCGCAGUUGGAAAGCUCAGGCUCUUUGGAAGAAAUUUGACACGAGAGCUUCACACAGAACCUACAGCAAGGGAAAUGCCGCAACUGGAACCAGAGUGUUAGUGAUAGGUGCAGGUCCUUGUGGUUUGAGGACAGCAAUAGAGGCUCAACUUCUAGGGGCAAAAGUAGUUGUUGUUGAGAAACGUGAUCGAAUAUCUCGAAACAAUGUUCUACACUUGUGGCCUUUUGUGAUCACAGAUCUCAGAAAUUUAGGUGCAAAGAAGUUCUAUGGAAAAUUUUGUGCGGGAUCAAUAGAUCACAUUUCAAUUAGACAGCUCCAAUGUAUCCUUUUGAAAGUCGCGCUUUUAUUGGGAGUAGAAGUACAUGAGGGAGUUUCAUUCGAAAACACAAUCGAACCCAGCGACGGAUGCGGUUGGCGAGCACAAGUAUCCCCAGAAGAUCAUGCAGUCUCACAUUACGAAUUCGAUGUGCUUAUUGGGGCAGACGGCAAACGAAACACAUUGGAACGGUUCCGUCGAAAGGAGUUUCGAGGAAAACUGGCCAUCGCGAUUACAGCCAAUUUCAUUAAUAAGAAAACGGAAGCCGAGGCUAAAGUCGAAGAGAUUAGUGGCGUUGCGUUCAUUUUCAAUCAGUCAUUCUUCAAGGAAUUGUAUCAAACAACGGGAAUUGAUUUAGAAAAUAUAGUUUAUUAUAAGGACGAAACACAUUACUUUGUGAUGACUGCCAAAAAACAUAGUCUUAUCGAUAAAGGUGUGAUAAUGCAAGAUUUUGCCGAUCCGGCUGAAUUACUUGCCCCGGCAAAUGUGAAUACAGACAAAUUAUUAGACUAUGCUAAAGAGGCUGCCGAGUUUUCUACAAAAUAUCAAAUGCCUAACUUGGAGUUCGCUGUUAAUCACUACGGUAAACCAGAUGUUGCUAUGUUUGACUUCACAUCGAUGUUUGCUGCAGAAGCAUCAUGCCAAGUGAUAGUUCGCAAAAACUAUAGACUGCUACAAUGUUUAGUUGGAGAUAGCUUACUGGAGCCAUUUUGGCCCACGGGAUCAGGCUGUGCUAGAGGUUUCCUGUCGAGUAUGGAUGCCGCAUAUGCUAUUAAAUUAUGGUCGAAUCCUCGAAAUAGUAUUUUAGGUGUAAUCGCUCAACGUGAAAGUAUUUAUAGACUACUAGCACAAACUACGCCGGAAAAUCUUCAACGAGACAUCGGUGCAUAUACGGUAGAUCCUGCGACACGUUAUCCAAAUUUAAACAAAUCGACUGUCAAUGUUUGGCAAGUUAAACAUCUAUUAGAUAGUGACGACGCCACAUUGCUUGAGCAAACUUUCAUGGAUACGAAUCUGGUGCAAACUCUUGCACCCGAAACGCCUGUACGAAGAAAACGACGUACUGGAGAUACACUGCCAUUAAGUACCGUAUUAUUACGGUGGAUAAAAGCUCAGUUGCAAUCGAACGAAUUUGCUCAGGACUUGAAUGAGUUAUCUGAAUGUUUCACUGGCGGGAAAGUGCUUUGCACCUUAAUUAACCGGUAUCGACCGGAUCUAGUCGAUUUGAAUACAAUCAAAGAUUACAGUGUGAAAGAACGUAACGAAUUGGCAUUUAAAAUUCUCGAAACGGAAUUAGGUAUUCCUCAAGUGAUGUCUGCGAAGGACUCAUUGAAUUUAGAAAAUGUCGAUUCGAAAAUUUGGCUCAACUACCUUGAACAGAUUUGUGAAGUAUUCCGAGGAGAAAUACCGCAUGUCAAGCAUCCUAAGUUGGACUUUUUCGAGCUUAAGGAGCGCACAGCUAAAAACAAUGCACCGGAUUUCUCUCAUUUGUUUAAAGCGAAUGCUAAAAAAUCCAGGUCACCGAUGCAGGACAUCGACAUGGCACAAACCGUGCAUAGACGUAGCAUACUCGAUGAAGAGAAGAUUCGUAAACAACGAAAAUAUGGGCCUGAUUUCAAUCCUGUUCAAACGGAUACAACGCGUCGUGCGAAAAAACGUCGAAGUCAGGAAAAAACUGGAAAUAUUGAGGAACGCCAAAAACGGUUGACAGAAAUAGAACAAAACCGAUUAGACCGUCAGAGUAAACGGCGUCUGCAUCGAUUCCAACAAACACAAAACUUCUAUAAGAGUCUUCAUAUGUUGCAAGCUAAUACCUUGCUGAGAGAAAGCGAUAGCUCAAGUCCUUUUGAAGAUUACUCGCUAUAUCUAUAUCGGCAACAAGCUCCAGGAUUUAAUGAUCGUGUUAAGGACCUCGAAAGGAAACUUUUGUACCCUGAUCGGGAACGUGGCAUUCAUUCCGCAAUGCCCCGCGGUGGCGCAGCCGAUGAACAGUUUAGCGAUCGUAUAAAAUCUAUGGAACAAAAAAUCACAUCUCGAACAGGUGGUGGAAUUGAUAAAAAACCGAAAGAUCUCUUACGUGCCAUAGGUAAAAUCGAGAGUACCGAUUGGAAUGUUCGUGAAAUCGAGAAGAAAAUUGAACAAUCUAAAAGAACCGAAAUUGGUAAAAGUAAGGAGAAAGUGCCCAAAUGGAGCAAGGAGCAAUUUUUGGCAAGACAAAAUAAAAUGGCCAAACCUGAACGACAAGAGUCGGUUGAAGAAAAAUUCAAAGAUAUCGACAAGACUUUGAAAAAUUUCGACAAACAAUUGAAAGAAGGGUCCGUCUUGGAAGUGGGCGAACGGGGCAAAAACAAGGUUGCAUCCAUUGCUGGACAGUUUGUGAAGAAGGAUGAGAAUUCAGAUGAGAAGAGUGUACCUGUACAGAGAUCUACUUCGAAAGCAGGAUUAGUUUUCAACAAGAAGGGAGCAUCCGAAAAAUGCCACUUCUGCAAACAAACGGUAUAUCUCAUGGAAAAGAUUUCUACAGAAGGAUUGAUUUUGCACCGAUCUUGUCUGAAAUGUUACCACUGUCAUACCAAUCUUCGCCUUGGUGCUUACGCCUUUGAUCGUGAUGACCCGAUAGGUCGGUUUUAUUGCACACAGCACUUUAGAUUGCCAGCAAAGGCCGUUCGCCCUGUCGUCAGAAAGUCUACGAAAAAUCAAAAUAAAUCGCCCGGCGAGCCUGCAAAAGUCGAUAAACCGAGCGAGGAAGAUUUCAAGACUCCAGAAAGGUUACGGGGUCGUCCUGAAAAUCUGGCUCAAUUGGAUCUUCUUGAUAGAGGUCAAACGCCUGAGCGUAUUGAAUUUGAAAAUGCAGACGCUCUGUCGGAUGGUGGGCCAUCGCAAGAGCAUAUUAUCGAUGAGAAUGAAUGGACAGAUCGUAACUUCAUCACAGAAAGUGAAGAUACAGAAUCAAAUAUAUCCGAUUCAGAUUCAUCAGACGAUGAUUCCGAGUCAGACUAUGAGGAAGCAAAUGGAUCACCGCUUGGUGUGCAAACAUUGCAGCUGGCUACAGACUGGAUUGGGAAACAACGCCAUUCGUAUAUGGAUGACGAUAGCGAUGGAGAUUUUUAUGACUCAAGCGAGGGGUUGUUAGAUGACGAUGAUCUAGAUAGCCAAACGGAGGGCGAGGAAUUCAAGAAGGCCCGUGAAAUGAGAAGGCAAGAAGUGAAAGUUCUGCCACCACCACAAUAUUUGCCGACCGAUACUGAAACUGAGGUUAUGUCCAAUGAAUUGGUAGAUCAACAAUGCACUAAUUCUGAUAGUAAUAAAGAAAAUAAUCUUUCUAAUGACAGUAAUCGGUUAUCGGAUAAUAGUAAUGAAAACGCUUCCAUAAAUGCUGGCGCUUGCGUUGAAACAAACGGUGAUUCCGAAGAUAAAGUAGAUAGUACCGCGUUGACUGACAAACAUUUGGAUAUAAAUCUUGAUGUAGAUAAAAGUGAAAACAGAGAUAACGUAGAGCAAGAACCAUCAGGUACUUGCAUGAAACCUGAGAAACGCGAAAAGAGAUUAGUUGAUGCGAAAUUACGAACGGGGUCGUCAGAAUCGGUCAACAGUAGUGGUUCGCUUGCGCCAUUAAAAACGGAAAUAAAACGUAUUGAAAAUUCUAGUUCAGAACGUAUAAGUACCGGAAUUGACGCACUAAACGAAAAUUUGUACAAUCUAAACAGUUUAAUAAAGUUGCAAAAAGAUGUUGAUAAUUUGAAGCGCGAAAACGUGGUGAAAAAUGACAUCAUGAAAAAAUUGUCCCUGAAAGAGCAGUGGCUUAAUCAGGAUACCAGUGCGACGAUUUUGAAUAGCGUGAAUCAAGCCCUUCGUUCCUCAAAACUCGAAUUAGAACAAAUGGAGGAAGUUGCUGAUGAGUCAGAGGAGCCUAUGAAACAAAAAAUGGAGGGAGGCAGUACAGAAGCACUCGAAAUGACUAAAACAAACAGCGAUACUAAUGGCGGUCAGACUAACACAAGUGAAAACUCAGUCGAUCCGGAGGAGCUUGAAAUCGAAAAAUUAGUUCUAAAUGCAAUGGAUGAAAUAAAUGAUGAUCUCAACAAGACAAAAGUUGAACAACAUGAAGAGAGAGAUCUUGGCAAACUCUUCUAUGAUGUGGAAAAUAACGAACGGAAAAUGAAUAAAACCUUAAAGAACAUUGAAGUAAAAAACUUUUCUGAUACGAUGGAUACCAUCAAAUCUCAAAUGACGUCACCAAAAAUAUCGAAACAAUCUUCUUGUGACCUUUCAAAAUAUUUCCCGAAUCAAAAGCAAAACAAAGUAGUUUCUGCCGCUACGAAUAAAAACCAGAAAUCAUUGAAAGACGUAAAUCUUGCUCAGUACUUCUCUCAAAGUCCUAACAGUGCGCGGAAAGAAAAGAAAGUGCAACCGGCUACCAUAGUGACACCUUCUAGUCCGAAUAGUCAGAAACGGCCUAUACCAUUACAACUUUUUGGUGCAGCACCUGAAAAGAAACCUAGCGCCCAAUCUCGAACAACUGCUAAAAAGAAUGUUCUUGCCAAGCAGAACAGCAAAAGCGAUAGGAGGGACUCUAGUGACUUUGAUUCUAUUGAUCAGUUGGAUGGAUCUAUUGAUUUGAAAAAGGCAAAACCAUUGAAAAAAGAUACGCUUGAUAUACCUGCAAGCGGGGUAAAACGCAGAAGCAAAAAUAAGGCCGCUACUUCGAAAUCAUUUCAAAUCGUCACAGAUCACGAUUUAGAGGUUGAUCCCGACGAGGAAAUUUUCGAAGAAAUCCUUAAUGCCAAUUGCUCUCGACCCUCCAGCGCUGAAUAUCGUCGGCUUUUUGAAGACGAGAAAUCACCGAGUGAGGAUAUCACUGAGAAGCUUGAGAACCUUUUAGAAGAGGAAGAACGAGCUCGACAGCAAGGUAAAAUGACAAAUCCAAGGAAAAAAAAGAUGUCAAAGGCUAAAAGUCUAGGCGAUGAACCGAAAAGGUCUAAAGUUGAAUCACUUGUGGAAGAAUACAACAGAAGGGAUUCAAAGCCCGAUUGCACAGCAAUUCUAACAGAUCUUGAAAAAACUAUGGCUUUCUUGAAAGAAGGCUGGAAAACGGAAGCUACUAAAUUUUUGGAAAGUAAGCGUGAUUCAUUCUUUUCAAAGCGUAAGAACGGGCAUGUUGAAGACGAAACAGAACCCUUGAAAGACUCAACUUCGUCUUUUGAGAAAUUUUUCUCGGCUCCUAAAACUAAACCUGGGACUACAACAGCACCUAAAUCCCCUGUGUCAAAGAAACGAUUGGAGAAACAGAAAUCUGCUGAUCAGCCAGAAAAAUCAAAUAAAAAUUCCAGUACGAAAAAGACGCCACCAUCAUCGCCUUCUUCGAAGAAACGUUUAGAAAAACAAAAGCCUAAGAAAGACUCUACGUCAAAAAACGAGGAUGAUGGCAUUAAACCUAAAACUGAUUGGGCCAAAAAGUUACCUUAUACCAGCAAGAACGAGGAAAUCAGUCCUUCAGUGCAGGAAUCUGAAGUCCAUUACCAUGAAAGAGUGCCUUCUGAUUUUUCGGACCUAAGUAUGGACGUGUCCGAUAGGGAAAUCGACAAAAUAUUAGACGAGCUGACUCAAGAUUUAGAUGAAUUAAAUAAAAUUGAGAGUCGCCUGCAACGGAAGGAAUCAUUGCCAGACGUAGUUAAAUCCGGAAAGUUAUCUACAUCUUUUUUAGAUGAAAGUCGAAGUUCAAAAGGUACCGAAUCUCUAGAGAGUACAAGGGAGGAGCUUGAUUUAUUAGAGAAGGGGGAAUUAGGAAGAAGGGUAGCUAUCUCUGGCAAUGAAUUAUCGAACGAUCGUCCAGCAACCGAAACUGAAAAUAAUCUACGCCAGGAAAGUGAAACUAAAAAAGUACAUUCUGAAGAAAAAGAAAUUGUGCGGAAAGAUUCAAGAAUAGAAGAAAAGUCUGAACAAGUUCCUCUGGUCGAAGAUGAAAACGUAUUCGAUGAAGUUGAAUCUAAUCAAUUUGAGCGCGGAGAACGUCCUGGUGAAAAUAUUGUGAAACGCCGAGAUUCUAGCAGCGGCAGUUUAUCGUUAAAUUUCAGUUACACGGCGACUUCAGAAAGCAGCCAAGAUAAAGUAUCAAUUCCAGUUGACAGCAAGCCCAUUGAAGAGCCUGGUGCUGACCCAAUAGUAAAGAAUACCAGCCGUGACAGGACUGUCACCUCCGAAGAUGAUAGCAUUGACGCGCUUUUCAAUCAGCUUACUGACGAUAUGUUGGUUGGGGUAGAAUUCGAUAGCAGUGAUGAACUAGUGCGUAUUAUUCCACAUGGAAAGUUAGACUCUGACGAAAUUGAUAAAAACUCAGAAUCGAUAGAUGAAGCACUAAAUUUGGCAUCACCUUCUUCCGCAGCAACAGUAAAUCCUAUUAAAUAUUUUGAAAUUUGUGAAAGAGAGACUUCAGAUUCAUCAGGGAAACAUUUCCCUGUUAAACCAGUACGACGUAAUAAGAGUAUGUCAUCAAGUCCAACUCCUGAUAUGCCGAUAGUACCAGUAAGAGUUCGAAAAGUGACCCUACCUAAAUUGAACCCUGUUGAUAUGGCACCAUCUAUACAAGAGAUUUUACAUAAGGCACAGCAGGAGCAUAAGAAACCACCAGUCCCUGCUGAAAGAACUAAGAGGCGAUCGGGACAUUUUCCAUUGAGAAGUGGUGAUGAUGAAGAUUAUAAAACGGUUAUCAAACCAUUACAAAAUGGUGAUUCAGUAGCUGAGAAAAAAGAGGUUUCUAGUGUAGACACUUCUAAAACACCGCAGGUGGAUAAGGAGGAGGAAGAAUUUAAGGACCUCUCAGACGCUAAACUCGAGAAAACAAAACCUGCUCUACAAAAUAUACAAAAUCAGGACUUGGUUUUCGAGAAUCGUAAAGAUCAAGAUGCCUAUAUAGAAGAGCUCGAAAAGGAGCGCCGAGCAGCUCUUCGAAAACGAGACGAAAUGUACGCAAAGGAAAAUGGUGCCCUAACUUUGCCUGUAUUUGUGCCUCCAGCCGUUGAACUUGAUACUGAGGAAAUGCAUCCAUUAUCAUCUAGUCCUCUGAAAUCGUCUUACUCUUCUAUCCCCCAUUCAAUCGCAUCCAGUAACGAUUCAAUUCCAUUUGUAAGUGCUCAAGACGUUUCCAUACCACAAAGACCAAGUCGAUACAAAUCCUCAAAUCACGAACCCCACAAACCUGUGGAUGCCAGCACCCAUUUAUUGUUAGAACGCAGUAAAAUGCUUCACAAUAGAAAACAAGAUUUCAUGAAUGAGAAGAUAGUUGGCAAUAAUCCAUAUCUUAAGAAAGUACUUGAUGAAGACAAGCGAUCGCAGGAAAGUCUUGACAAAAUCGAUUCCCGUGGUUCGCCCAUCGAUGAUGUCGAAUUACGAAAUCAACAUCGAUCGUAUCGUAAAUUUCCAACACUGCGAUCAUUAGGGUCUGAUCGUGGACGUGAUCGUCAUGGGUCGAGCGAAUCAGUCGAUCGCAAUCGCAAAACUUAUUCAUUGGCGAACACAUUGGGCCCUAGAAAUUUCGUAGAAUACUUCAAACGUAGCCCAUCGAAACCGAAAGAUAAUCCCAGAGAUUCCUCGAAGGAGCGACGCGACACAUCUAAAGAGUCGUGCGUGGUGUCUUAGAUCUCAACAAAUUGAUGCAAUUAAAAAAUGCACAUUGUCUUUUCUGUAGUGCAAAUGUCAUAUACGCAGUCAAUAUUUGUGAUUUUUUUAUGAUCGUAUUUCGAUGAUUUUUACUUUAUAUUAAAAUUGAAUAAAAAUAAUAACUAAAAACUAAAAAAAAUCUUAAAAAAAUUAAGAUCCCGUCGAAGUUGCUCCGUACUAUAAAAAAUAUCCUCUUUAAUUAUUCACAAGCAAAAAGAAAUUAAACCCCAAAGUUUUCUCCUAUGGGUACGAUCUACGGAAGGUGCAGUCUGACUCGGAGUCUUCAUCUCCAGACGAUAUCGGUUUAAAUUCAGCCACGGAAAUUUCAACAGAUUCGGAAUUUGAUCAUGACCCAAUCUAUCGAGAGGCACCACC
rnacentral:misc_RNA from 1 species